rnacentral:lncRNA from 1 species
AGCUUUAGUAAAUGGACUUAAAUCUGUCACAUAGUUGACACGUCUCCAUUGUUCUAAUCAGCUUGUCUAUAACAGCUGGAAGCCCUAGCAAGAUGGCCACAACUGGUGGACUGGCAUUGCUGUGAUCCCUCUCAUCUGUGGCAGCAAACUGUAGGGGAGGAGCCCCUUGAGAUGUUCCAGGCCCCCAGAGUCUCACUGCCAACACUGAGGGAGCUACUGAGAUUCCUGAGACACCCUGCAGAUUUUCUGGAAUCCAUCUAGUCUGGUCUGCAGGUACAGAAAACUGUCCACUCCCAGGUAUGAGCUAUCAGCCCCUCCCCAGCUGUACAUCAUGCCACCCAUUCCACCCCAGGGAUACUGUCCUCAUCAAAGCCUGAGGGCAUGAAGGACUGACUGCAGCCUGGACGGGACCCUACAUGGUCG